AUUGACACAAGUUAAACAGGCCGCGGUAUCCUGACCGUGCAAAGGUAGCAUAAUCACUUGUUCUCUAAAUAAGGACUAGUAUGAAUGGCCACACGAGGGUUUAACUGUCUCUUACUUCCAAUCAGUGAAAUUGACCUUCCCGUGAAGAGGCGGGAAUAUAACAACAAGACGAGAAGACCCUAUGGAG
rnacentral:rRNA from 1 species